rnacentral:lncRNA from 1 species
GUCAACUAUGAUAUGAAAUAAAUUUAAUAUGCAUUGAUGUCUUACAGAAUCACUUUUAUGAGUUAAAUACCAUGCAAAUUACUAAAGAAUUCUGUGUAUCUGUGGAUGAUUCAAAUGAAAAUAUUUGUUUACCUGUGAAAGGAAAAUAUGUAUCACAUAAAAUAUAAAGAUUUAAUGUUAUAAACAUUGUAUGUAUAAUCAAUAUAUUUUGCCCAUCACACUUUUAUUACAAAAUCAGAAUUUAUAAACCAUAUUCAUUUCCUUAAAAAAUGGCUUUAAAAAGCACCUGGAAAUUUUUUAGGCACAAGAUUUAUUUUAAAAACAUACAAUUUGUUCCUAAUCUGCAGAAAGAAGUUUCGUAAGAUUACUAAUCACUAGGAUUUGCUUUUUCUGUAGCAGCCACAGGAGAGGACGAUACAAUAGGUCUUCGGAAAAGGUCAGGCGGGACCCACUGUGUACUUGUUCUUUCUUUCAUUUUCAAGCUUCUCUCCCUUCCUAUGCCUUUGGAGUAACUUCUGCUCACCAGUGAAUAUAUUUUGUUCCAUGGGAUUUAUGAAAUUUCUAACCUUUCUUUGUGUUCUGCACUGCCUUGUCCAUUUCAUCAUCACCUUCCUGUCAUUUACCACCUUGAAGCAGAUUCUUUACUAUUGAGCCACCAGGGAAACCAUAAAUAAACAAAAAAACAACUUAGCUCAGCAAAGCACAUUAUAGCAAAGUGAUCUGUUAUUAUAUAGCGUGACUAAAAAUGGGCAAUCAUGAAAAACAUUCUUUUAAAAUAUAAAUUAUUAUUUGAAUGCUUACAGCCUUUAAACUUUCAAAGAAAUUAUCUUCAGUUAUACCAUGUACAGUUGAUAUGAGGAGUUCAAGAAAUAGUAAUGGAUAUAGAGACUUCACACAAUGUAUUGUUUUUCAGUCACUAAGUCCCUACUCUUUGCAGCCCCCUGGACCGCAGCACACCAGGCCUCCUUGUUCAUCACCAACUCCCGGAGUUCACUCAAACUCAUGUCCAUUGAGUCGGUGAUGCCAUCCAGCCAUCUCAUCCUCUGCCGUCCCCUUCUCCUGCCUUCAAUCUUUCCCAACAUCAGGGUCUUUUCCAAUGAAUCAGCUCUUCGUACCACACAGUGUAUACAGCACAAGGUCUGGCAGAGAGCGUGGCCAGAAGCGGACCGUGGCCUUCUACCCUGGGGCCCUCCAGGCCCUCCAGCCUCUGGUCGGUCGGUGAACCGCGGGCCCCGGGUCAGUCGUGGUGUGCUCUGCAGGGCGGUAGCCGAGGCCCCGGUCGGCGGGGCCCAGGACCGGAAGCAGCCGCGAACCUCUCCUCACCCCAACCCGCACCCCCGCGACCUAAUGGCGGCGGCCCCUCCGAGCCCGGAUCUGCCGACCGCUGGGUCUCCACCCUGCGCUGCAGGGCUUGGCCUCAGGUGA